rnacentral:lncRNA from 1 species
GCCAUCGGGCCGCGGGCGCUCGGAACCGACCUGGGAGCUGGCGGGACCGUCCUCCCCCGCCACGCCCUCCCAUCGGGCUUUGGGCGCCGGACUCUGGCCACCGCUCGGCACCUGCCUCCGCCUCGCCUUGGGGUAUAGGAGUCCUGUACCGACCCCUGGCUUGCCCAGAGGACAGGUUCUCGCCCGGGCCAGAAGCAAACUGCGGCGAAAUCGAGACAACAGAACUCAGUGCCCUUUCUUUUUCUUCAGAGUCACUCUGUCACCCAGGCUGGAGUGCAGUGGCACCAUCACAGCUCCCUGCAGCCUUGACUUACAGGGCUCCAGUGAUCCUCCACCCUCAGCCUCCUGAGUAUCUGAGACCACAGGUGCAAGCCACCAUGCCCAGUUGUAGCAAGGAAACCAAAAGGUAUAAACAUUCACUGAUUGAAAAACAAUGUCAUAAAGUCAUCCCAGUAUCUGUGAGGAGUUGGUUCCAGGACCCCUGAGGACACCAAAAUCCUCAGAUGCUCAAGUCCCUGAUAAAAAAAUAAAAGCAGUGGUGCCCUCGGGUUCAAAAACCUGAACGGUGGUCUUCAGUUGUUCCCCCAAGCUCCUCUAUCAGAGGCCCAGACACUCCAAGAGGCUGGGAAGAGGCAAGUGGCUUUCCCUGACUGGCAUCAGACUCCUGGAUGGCUGUGUUUCUGCAUACUCCACCAUCAACAAUCAGAAGGGCACUGCUUUCUUCAAGAAGGGGACCUUGCAAAGAACUGUCUCAGAUGGACUAUCUUUGAGUUCAUCUUGUUCUGAAUGUGAGUCUGAGUCUUUGUUUCCAGAUGACACAGUGCUGUCUGAGUCCUCUGAAUCACCUGCCUCAGAGCUGCAGCAAAGUUUCUGCUGCCCAGAAACUGAAUGGGCUGCUUGUAAUGCAGAUUCUUCCUCCUGGACAAGAA